AAAAAAAGAGUAUCAAUCCCUUUAGUUCAAUUCCCCUCUGAAUUGCUGUGCAACUCUUUGAAAACAAAUUCCUUCAUCUUGCCCUACUCCAUUGAGGCUCUAACCUCAUUAUCAUGCUUUGUAGGCGUGGCCCCCUGAUGCUAAAGGUCUCAUGGAAGAGAUUGCAACCUCUGUGACUAAAGUUAGGAAUGUUAUGUAAUGCAUUAAAAAUGAAAACCUUUUCCCGACAGGGAUCAAUAUUUUAUAUAAACAUUAAAAUAGGUGUGGUUUUACUGCUUUCCACUGCUUUAGUAGUACAAUAGAUCCACAAGCAUCACAGAGAAAGAAUCAUAGAAUCACAGAAUCAUAGAAUCAUAGAAUCAUAGAAUGGCCUGGGUUGAAAAGGACCACAAUGAUCAUCGAGUUUCAACCCCCCUGCUAUGUGCAGGGUCGCCAACCACCAGACCAGGUUGCCCAGAGCCACAUCCAGCCUGGCCUGGAAUGCCUCCAGGGAUGGGGCAUGCCUCCUGGGACAACCUGUUCCAGUUCAUCACCAUCCUUUGUGUGAGUUCAGAACCAGUGGAGAUGACAAUGUGCAAUAAGUCAUCUUGUAGAAGUCGUAUCAGAUCCUGGUGAUCUUUGGUUCCUCAACUCGGAAGACUGUCAGUAUGUAACCAUUACUUAAUGGCACCGUAUACUAAGAAGAUUGUGUCAGCAGCUAAUUAGCAUAUAAAGUCAUUUCUCUUUGCCUUCCAUACUUGAGUUUUUCCAUCAUAGCUCAAUAUUAUAGAAGGACUCAGAAUACAGC
ensembl:lncRNA